UACGUAGGGUGCAAGCGUUGUCCGGAAUUAUUGGGCGUAAAGAGCUCGUAGGCGGUUUGUCACGUCUGCUGUGAAAACUCGGGGCUUAACUCCGGGCCUGCAGUGGGUACGGGCAGACUAGAGUGCGGUAGGGGAGACUGGAAUUCCUGGUGUAGCGGUGAAAUGCGCAGAUAUCAGGAAGAACACCCGUGGCGAAGGCGGCUCUCUGGGACGGUACUGACGCUGAGACGCGAAAGCGUGGGGAGCGAACAGG
rnacentral:rRNA from 1 species